rnacentral:rRNA from 1 species
UACAGAGACGCAUAACCUCGGGAAACUGAGGCUAAUUCGUCAUACCCCUCUCACGCUGGAAUGCCAAGAGGCACAAACGCUCCCGCGCUGUAGGAUGUGGCUGCGGCCGAUUAGGUAGACGGUGGGGUAACGGCCCACCGUGCCCAUAAUCGGUACGGGUUGUGAGAGCAAGAGCCCGGAGACGGAAUCUGAGACAAGAUUCCGGGCCCUACGGGGCGCAGCAGGCGCGAAACCUUUACACUGCACGCACGUGCGAUAAGGGGACUCCGAGUGCGAGGGCAUAUCGUCCUCGCUUUUGUGUACCGUAGGGCGGUACACGAACAAGAGCUGGGCAAGACCGGUGCCAGCCGCCGCGGUAAUACCGGCAGCUCAAGUGAUGGCCGAUCUUAUUGGGCCUAAAGCGUCCGUAGCUGGCCUCGAAAGUCCGUCGGGAAAUCCACACGCCCAACGUGUGGGCGUCCGGCGGAAACUCCGAGGCUUGGGACCGGAAGGCUCGAGGGGUACGUCCGGGGUAGGAGUGAAAUCCCGUAAUCCCGGACGGACCACCGAUGGCGAAAGCACCUCGAGAAAACGGAUCCGACAGUGAGGGACGAAAGCUAGGGUCUCGAACCGGAUUAGAUACCCGGGUAGUCCUAGCCGUAAACGAUGUUCGCUAGGUGUGACACAGGCUACGCGCCUGUGUUGUGCCGUAGGGAAGCCGA